rnacentral:sRNA from 1 species
CUGUCGUCAAAAGCAGACGGCGCUGCAGC